GCUGGGUGUGGUGGUGGGCAUCUGUAAUACCAGCUACUCAAGAGGCUUUAUCAGGAGAAUCACUUGAAACCUGGGAGGCAGAGGUUGCAGUGAGCAGAGACCACACCAUUGCACUCCAGCCUAGGAAACAGAGUGAGAGACAGUCUCACUCUGUCGCCCAGGCUGCAGUGCAAUGGUGUGGUCUCUGCUCACUGCAACCUCUGCCUCCCAGGUUUCAAGUGAUUCUCCUGAUAAAG
rnacentral:SRP_RNA from 1 species